UUCGCUGUAGUUUAAGAAAAACGUGAAUUUGUGGAGUUCAAAAUAACUCUCUUCUGCGAAA
rnacentral:tRNA from 2 species